UACGUAGGGGGCAAGCGUUGUCCGGAUUCAUUGGGCGUAAAGAGCGUGUAGGCGGCCAGGUAGGUCGGUUGUGAAAACUGGAGGCUCAACCUUCAGACGUCGACCGAAACCAUCUGGCUAGAGUCCGGGAGAGGUGAGUGGAAUUCCUAGUGUAGAGGUGAAAUUCGUAGAUAUUAGGAAGAACACCAGUGGCGAAGGCGGCUCACUGGCCCGGUACUGACGCUGAGGCGCGAAAGCGUGGGGAGCGAACAGG
rnacentral:rRNA from 1 species